GAUGGGCGUCGACCGGCGCACGGGUGAGUAACGCGUAUCCUACCUGCCCAUCACUUGGGGAUAACCUUGCGAAAGUAAGACUAAUACCCAAUGAUAUCUCUAGAAGACAUCUGAAAGAGAUUAAAGAUUUAUCGGUGAUGGAUGGGGAUGCGUCUGAUUAGCUUGUUGGCGGGGUAACGGCCCACCAAGGCGACGAUCAGUAGGGGUUCUGAGAGGAAGGUCCCCCACAUUGGAACUGAGACACGGUCCAAACUCCUACGGGAGGCAGCAGUGAGGAAUAUUGGUCAAUGGGCGAGAGCCUGAACCAGCCAAGUAGAGUGCAGGAUGACGGCCCUAUGGGUUGUAAACUGCUUUUAUAAGGGAAUAAAGUGAGUCUCGUGAGACUUUUUGCAUGUACCUUAUGAAUAAGGACCGGCUAAUUCCGUGCCAGCAGCCGCGGUAAUACGGAAGGUCCGGGCGUUAUCCGGAUUUAUUGGGUUUAAAGGGAGCGUAGGCCGGAGAUUAAGCGUGUUGUGAAAUGUAGACGCUCAACGUCUGCACUGCAGCGCGAACUGGUUUCCUUGAGUACGCACAAAGUGGGCGGAAUUCGUGGUGUAGCGGUGAAAUGCUUAGAUAUCACGAAGAACUCCGAUUGCGAAGGCAGCUCACUGGAGCGCAACUGACGCUGAAGCUCGAAAGUGCGGGUAUCGAACAGGAUUAGAUACCCUGGUAGUCCGCACGGUAAACGAUGGA
rnacentral:rRNA from 1 species